rnacentral:miRNA from 1 species
CAAACUGUGAAUCAUGUUUUGCCCCCCAUGUUUGUGCAUGUGCGUAUAGUUGUGUGUGCAUGUAUAUGUGUGUAUAUGAAUAUACAUAUACAUACACACCCAUAUAUACACGCAUGCAUGUGAACAC